AUUAUUUAUUUGUCCUUGAGUGUUUUGUGAUGCAUAUUCACAACGAAACAAGCUUAUUUAAUUAUUACUUUCAGGAACUCUUGUCUUGCCCGAAUUGAGGUCAUUCCCAUGAAUAUGGAUGCAUAAAAUGAUAUACUGUACUAACAACAUUUUUGCGGCUGCAUUAAAACAAGGAGACUGUUCCACAUAGUACUGUGUCAUGUCCUAUUUGAAUGUCCUUAAGCAGCUUGAUACCGAAGAAGGAAUAUGUGAAUUUGUGCGUUUUACCCAUUACGUAGGCUGGGUCUUUCUUAUCACGCUUGUAGUAGCAUCACAGAUCCAUACUGUUGAGAUCGCGUCUGCAAUCAGUGCCGUUGCAUCAAAAGCCAUGUGAACGUAGUACUCAUGGGAGGGCGAUCUUCUUAGCAGACAACAGGCUAUGAAGUGAAUCAUGACAUUUGUGCACCGGUGGCAAAUGAUAAAUGACAAGACGAAAGGGAAGUGUUAUUCUGCGGCAGAUGUUGCAGUGAGAUCAUAAAAGAAGUUGUCACUUCCUGGAUGCCAGCUAUAUACUUUGUUAAUGCUGUCUACAAUAUGCAAGUCGGAUUAUGAUAUUGGGAGUGCACAUUUAAGAAGACUAGUUUGUGGGGAGUUAUAAUGCGUACUUGGUUGCCAAGAUAAAAACAACUGAAUUCAACAAUAAAUGUACACUUAAUGAGA
rnacentral:misc_RNA from 1 species